AGUGAACGCUGGCGGUGGGCCUAACACAUGCAAGUCGAACGGCAGCACAGUAAGAGCUUGCUCUUAAGGGUGGCGAGUGGCGGACGGGUGAGGAAUACAUCGGAAUCUACUUUUUCGUGGGGGAUAACGUAGGGAAACUUACGCUAAUACCGCAUACGACCUACGGGUGAAAGCAGGGGAUCUUCGGACCUUGCGCGAUUGAAUGAGCCGAUGUCGGAUUAGCUAGUUGGCGGGGUAAAGGCCCACCAAGGCGACGAUCCGUAGCUGGUCUGAGAGGAUGAUCAGCCACACUGGAACUGAGACACGGUCCAGACUCCUACGGGAGGCAGCAGUGGGGAAUAUUGGACAAUGGGCGCAAGCCUGAUCCAGCCAUACCGCGUGGGUGAAGAAGGCCUUCGGGUUGUAAAGCCCUUUUGUUGGGAAAGAAAAGCAGCAGGUUAAUACCCCGCUGUUCUGACGGUACCCAAAGAAUAAGCACCGGCUAACUUCGUG
rnacentral:rRNA from 1 species